GACGAACGCUGGCGGCGUGCUUAACACAUGCGAGUCGAACGGAAAGGCCCUGCUUUUGUGGGGUGCUCGAGUGGCGAACGGGUGAGUAACACGUGAGUAACCUGCCCUUGACUUUGGGAUAACUUCAGGAAACUGGGGCUAAUACCGGAUAGGAGCUCCUGCUGCAUGGUGGGGGUUGGAAAGUUUCGGCGGUUGGGGAUGGACUCGCGGCUUAUCAGCUUGUUGGUGGGGUAGUGGCUUACCAAGGCUUUGACGGGUAGCCGGCCUGAGAGGGUGACCGGCCACAUUGGGACUGAGAUACGGCCCAGACUCCUACGGGAGGCAGCAGUGGGGAAUAUUGCACAAUGGGCGGAAGCCUGAUGCAGCAACGCCGCGUGCGGGAUGACGGCCUUCGGGUUGUAAACUGCUUUCGCCUGUGACGAAGCGUGAGUGACGGUAAUGGGUAAAGAAGCACCGGCUAACUACGUG
rnacentral:rRNA from 1 species